GAUGAACGCUGGCGGCGUGCCUAAUACAUGCAAGUCGAGCGAACGGACGAGAAGCUUGCUUCUCUGAUGUUAGCGGCGGACGGGUGAGUAACACGUGGAUAACCUACCUAUAAGACUGGGAUAACUUCGGGAAACCGGAGCUAAUACCGGAGGAUAUUUUGAACCGCAUGGUUCAAAAGUGAAGGACGGUCUUGCUGUCACUAAUAGAUGGAUCCGCGCUGCAUUAGCUAGUUGGUAAGGUAACGGCUUACCAAGGCAACGAUGCAUAGCCGACCUGAGAGGGUGAUCGGCCACACUGGAACUGAGACACGGUCCAGACUCCUACGGGAGGCAGCAGUAGGGAAUCUUCCGCAAUGGGCGAAAGCCUGACGGAGCAACGCCGCGUGAGUGAUGAAGGUCUUCGGAUCGUAAAACUCUGUUAUUAGGGAAGAACAUAUGUGUAAGUAACUGUGCACAUCUUGACGGUACCUAAUCAGAAAGCCACGGCUAACUACGUG
rnacentral:rRNA from 1 species